UGUGCCAAGUACAUCUCGGUCAUCACGGGAGCCCCCAUCUACACCAACAGGAAGGGGCUGGAGCCGAAUUCGUAAGACCACGAACAAAAAAGCCAUUCCAGUACAAUUUGGAUGAGAUAUCAAGUCUACGGACGACUGUUUCAAGAGUGAAAAGAGCCUCCGCCAUCAUUCCACCAGCACAGAUAUUGGCCAAGUCAUCCAGAAUGGCCGGAGCAAUGGCGCGCCGCUGGAGCUGAUCGCAGGGGCCACGCGCUGCCGCUUCUUAUUUUCGAACCACUGUGGAAGGUACAGUUUCCCUUCUUUAAAGUUGUUUCUUUAUUCUAUGACAUGGCUCGCGUCUCGUUCGCGCGUGUACCGUAUGCAUGAUGUGGCCCCCUUUUUGUUUUUGGAGAAUGCUUAGAAGCUUCAAGUUGCGGACACUGCGGUGGGCCAGGGCUUGAUGACAUUUUUUGCCCAGCUGCUGGUGCUACCACGACGUACUUGGAGCAACGGCAAGUGUCUUGCGAUUACCCGUUCCCUUGCUGACACGUAAAAAACCGGUUGCGCAUUUGAGCUGUGGUCGAUGUGAUCUCGAAAUUCGAAAAAACACGAAACGCUUGUCGCAGGUCCCGCAGUGAUCGCAGGACAAUUUAUUCGUUCGUGCCUUCAACAAUUACUACUGCAGUUCCUACGCGUUGCACCGAUGAAAAAAAAAAAGCGACAGCUUCCACGCGCCAGCAAUGCAUGCGCUCAACUAGUAUGGAGGUCGUCCUGUGAUACUUAUCGCAUUCUUAAGUCUAUUUUUCUCCAUCUCUAUUGGAUGACUACGCUAUGCCCCUCUUAUUUACCCAUGCAGCGCAUGGCUGCAUUUAAUUGCCUUUCUCGCUGCUCGCACUGACCGCGGCUUUCAGAGGCUUUCAUUCGUGAGAUAACGAAAGUGUAUUUGCUUCACUUAAAGCUUCUUAGUAGCUCCAUUGCGAGCCGUGGAAUUAAAUCAUACAAUGUCUACAUACGUUCUGAGCGAGCUGGUAAACGAACCCACUUUACUGCUGCUGUCGCUUUUACGGGAACUUUCAAAAACAAACAUAUAUGAGUAUGAAUCGGCUCACCAAGCUUUAUAUGCACGUCCAUUGCUUUCGUUUAUAGAUCAUGUGCGUAGCUUUGCAACCGUGACCGAUAUUGUAAAAACAGCAAGAAGGCAGAUGACACAAGUAGUGUGUCUGCUUUAAUUGUUGUCUGUGCUGUUUUUAGAAUAUCAACCAACUCCACGCACUCGUGCUGUUUACAGCUAAAACGUGUUUUUUCUUGUUGCAUGAGGAGCAUUUGCUUCUAAUUGUGGCAGUAACAUUGUGAAUUGUCCUCGGCCCAGAUCGCUGACAGUGUGCAAAUUUGUCUAAUUUGUUUCACUUUGGUGCUGUCUUUACAGCUUCUGCUUAUUUCCUCUGCCUGCACCUUAUAUUUGUUGUGUUUAUCGAGACCUGGCCUGUCUCUGCCUCGUUGAAGACAAAUGGACACAAGUACUGGUCGCUGUUGGUUUGUUUGGUUUGCUCAGUCUGAGCGUGGUAUGUAUAUCCAUUUGCUAAAAGGGUAUACUGCUGCAUCUAAUGCAGGUACUGCUCAUCUAAAGGUAGAUUUAAUUAGUAGUGGUUUGAGUGAUGUAUGACACCAGAGAGUUGUUCUAGAAAGAUGACAAAGCUGGUCGACAAAUUUAAGGUAUGGAGAUGCAUAACCAUUUAAGUGUUCUAAGUUGCCAUAAAGUAUUACACACAUUUAAAAUUUCAGUUGCAAAAGACGUAGUAGAAGAAGAAUCCAGAAGAUUUGCUGCCAAAUGUCUUGAGACAAUAAAUUGUAGGGAAAGCAUUAUAGUGUGAGCUGCAAAUGAUUGUCGUCAGCUCUAACCCAUUCUUCUAUAUAGUCACUGUUGCUUCAUUGUCUGUUGCCAUCACAUGCUUGUUAUAAACAAAAAAUUGAGCUGCGUCAUUCCCCUGAUUUUCUCGCCCAUAAGAUACAAAUGUUUUGAUUUCGGCUGCCUUGGUGCCUCAUGGUAAAAAAUGAGUGUUUAUUAGCCAGUUGCCAGCUUCUAAGAUCAUGUGCUUUGUAAUGUGGGUGUUUUAAAGGAUACUUCACAUCUGCCAUCAUGACUGUGAGUGCUGCUGCCUAGCACUCCCAGAGCUAUGCUUAGUACACAUGCGGCGCUAUCCAAGAAAAUUGACAUUGCGACAACUGCCAUUGAGACAACUGCCAUUGAAGCUCACUUGGUAGAGCAUUGCAAGCACAAGGCAGAAAACGUGGGUUCAGCUUCGUUGUCUCUUGUGCAAAGCAUUAUCAUGAUCUGUCUCCUGGCUUCUUCGUACAUCCAGUCAGAUAGGCUCAAUAAUAGUUAGUAACGUGCCUGAUGGUGGGUCGUUAAUCUGGGUCCUUAGUGCAGCAGCCCAUUUCUUUACCCAUUAGGCUACAGAUGCAUGCAUAGCGUGCCAGAUUAAUCUCCCUGGUUCUCUCGUAGCAGCUAAUUCUUUCAGAUGUUAUGUGACACAGAGUUUGGGAUUCACCAAUUUCAGCUUAUCGUUGCGACAUUCACAACCACUUUAGCUGCUCAUAAAAUCAUUGAAGUGCAUGUAAAGUGCCUCUAUGUUGUGUCUGUUAAAAACAUGCUCCAUCGUGCUGCAACAUUAUGCACAUUAGCUUUGUGUGCAAGCCACAGCUGUUGCAAUGUGCUGCACCGCAAUGCACUUUGGUUAUGUGGAAAAGCUACCACUGUUGCUACGCUCUUUACUGUUAUACACGUCAACCUUGCGGCAAAGCCACUGCACUUGCAAUGUGCUGCGCCUCAAAACAUUUCAGGUAUGUGGGAAUGCACACUUGCAUGUGCUAGAUUUGGGCAUCUUUAAUGCAAAGAAUUAUUUCUUCAUACCAAGCACUUUGCAGUAGGCAAUUUUACGUCCCGGCUCAUUUCGGUCUUCUGCAUUAAAAACAAAAAUAUGUUACAGUGAGCCCGAACCUGUCUCCCAGCAUAACAACCUGACGCUCUAACCAUUUGACCACUGUUGUGCACAUACUUCUUGCUCGCCAAUGCAUAUCUGUGUGUAUGAGAUAGUGGCACGUGUAUUACAGUGCAUAAUACGUGUCAGAGCAUGUGUGCAUAUACAAGUUGCUUAUCAAACUGAGAGCAUGUCAGUCUCUCCCAUUCUUCCUUUGUGGCUGGACUUCGAGGUGCUUUGUUAGAAUGCACCACCUUUGGGAUUCGCUCACAUUUCUAAGUCCCGCUCACUGUAGCAGCUAGCACAACAUGGACACUGUGCAACAUAGUACUACCUUUAUGCUGUAAUGUUUCUUCACUGGAGUACAAAAAGGAAUCAUGUAGAUCCUACGUACAUGUUAAAAUCUACGUAAAGUGGUUAAUCAGAAUUUAUGAAACAUUCAUAUUUAAUGCAUUCUUGCAAUCCAAAUGAUGGAAAGCAUAUUUGUCUUGGCAAGAUAGCAGUAGCAGAUGUCACAAGCAUGUUAUGCAGGGAAGCCACCGUGUCACCUGUAGCUGUUCUCUGUUUAGUGAGGAUGAAGGUGACAUGUGCUUGUUUAGUGAAGAACGUUGACAAGAGGUGUAUGCACAAAAACAUAUGACACUUAUCUUAAUACUACAUGUAAGGCUUGUAUACUUGUGCAAGGUUUGGGUACGGGCUAGUUGGUAUUCCAUGGUAUCAAACGUCACUUACAGCGCAUACACAGGCUUGCAUAAGCAGCACUUGUCUUUGUCGUCCUUUUUGUCCCUCGUCUGUGCAUGCGCUGUAAGUGACGCUUGUAUACUUGUGUCGCAGCGACACGUACCCAUUCUACGAGAUGGGCCUAGAAUAGGCACAUGCCCAUUUGCGCAUACUGCAUAAGCCAAGUUUUCCACUCGUCAAAACAGCAGCCACCACAAAGUGUUAGGAAAGAGGCAAAGAAACCAUGCUUUUGCAUUCGUACUCUCCUCACAAAGCUUGUCAUAUAUGCAAUCACUCGCCAUACACAAACACAUUGGUCUACACUGCAAUGUUUGGAAGAACCCGAACCAACGCUAGAUAGCCAUUUACCUCCAAUAUGCCUCCUGUAACAUAAAUCCCCACUGUGUAUGGAAUCUACAUAUUUUUUUUUUUAUUUCUCAGGCAUAUGGUGGUAGAGGCCAGUGCAUAAGACAGAAAUCCUGCUAGACUGCAGCAAUGUUCAGAAUGUAGUAUGACGUACUCUGUCUGGCUGGAAGUUGAAGAUAGAAAUUAUAUUAGUAGUUAAAAUACAGUAGCCAGUAUUGAAACUACACAUGCACUCAAGGCUGAGCCACAUCAUGAGAACAUGGAAGAGCAGACACACACUGCCACAAUGCCAGUUGAGCUGGCAUUGUGUAGCUUUACCAACAAGCCCAGCUGUAAACUGAAGUAAGGCAUGCUGUGGGUCUAGUCAGCUCGUAGCUUCAGCAAAAUUUUAAACUGUGCGAGGAAGACAGGAUAUGAACAGAAACAUAGAUGCAUGCACAAAGUGUAGACUUCCGACUGGCUUUGUUUGGUGAAGGCAGAGAGUUUAUAAGGUUCUUAAAAAUGGUAAAACAAAGAAAUUGUGCACAAGGCUGUGACGAAAAAUAGCAAGGCCACCUGUGCAUUAAGAGCGCAGUAGAGCCCCAAUGUGCCCAUCUAAGAAUUCUAUUUCUUUCCUUGAUAGGGAUCAAGAAGGUGAGCUAACUUAGUUGUCACACCUUUUAGCGAUGUGGAAUGUUUUGAUGACUUCUCUUUCUGUUUUUGAGUUUGCCUUCGAAAGGCAUUUAUUCUGUUCCACAUAAGGCAGGCAGCUUUUGCUGUCGCAGCUCCUGCACUGCAAGAGGAGAUUCUCAAGGAAAGAAUUAAAGUCUUCGAUGGGCACAUUAAGACUCUCCUGCACUCUUAAUGCAUACAUGGCCUUGAUAUUUUUUGUCACUGCUGCGUGCAUGAAUUAUUUGCAACUGCUCCUUGUUUUGCUGUUGUGAAGUACCUUAUAUAUUCUCUGCUUUUAGGAAAUAAAACCAGUUGGAAGCCUGUGCUUUGUGUGAGUCUGUUUCAGUUCACGUCCCGUCUUCCUCGUGGAGUUUAAAAUUUUGCCUAACCAGCUGUAUAUCUUGUGUAUACGAUGAGUAAUUAAUAUUAUGAUGACUGCAGCACAGCAAUGGUCUAGUGGCAUAGUGUCGACAUAGUUUAGAGAUGGUACUAAGUUAAAAAUCUGGAAAUGCCAUAAAUUGUGCAAUCAACCCUUAUCCCUUGGUUUUUUACAGCUUCAGAGCACUUGACCACUGCAGCAGUCAAGCAUGCUGUAUAUUGGGCAGUGCCAGGAAUUGCGAGAUCGAAACAGGCUGCCACUAGAAGUUCCUUGGGCCAGGUGAUAACUCAAAUGCAUCCAAAUAUUUCUAUAUUUCACUGUAUAAACCUUUGUAGAAUGAGGAACUUUUCAAGGGUGAAGUUGUUUCGUACAAAAGAAAACUAUUACUAAAUAGUGACCAGUUUCUUUUGUUUUGUAAGCCAGAUUGCAUGUAUUUAACAUUGCUUACUGAUUCUUACUUAUUCUCGCUGUCCGAUACAAGCAUAUGCACUCACAUAUGUUUUCAAACAAAACUAUUGUGUGGAGCCAUGUUUGUGGUGGAAUAAAAUUGGUCCCAAUACAGAGCUCUGUGGCACAGCGGAUCUUACUAGUGAUCACGGAGAAGAAAGUUCAUUAGUAGUUACAAAUCAGUACCGGUUAGUUAAAAAUUUACUAAUCCAAUCCGUAGUCCUGUCAAUUCGAAGUUUACUGUCGUUUGUGUAUUGCACCAAGCCGAUGUCCCCUGACCUGGGCGGGCUGUAACAUUCGCGGUGCUGGCCGCAUUCUCGGUUGUAAUCUACAGAUCAGAUUGCCCCGCUAGCCACGAUAUCUUUUCUUUUGCCACUCCCUGAUUGGCUGCCUAACGCUCAAAAAGCGCGUCGCCGAACGAAUAAAACGUCAUUGUCUUCCUGG